ACUACGGGUGGCAGCAGUGGGGAAUAUUGGACAAUGGGCGAAAGCCUGAUCCAGCCCUGCCGCGUGUGUGAAGAAGGCCUUCGGGUUGUAAAGCACUUUCAGUGGGGAAGAAAGCCUUGGGGCUAAUACCCUCGAGGAAGGACAUCACCCACAGAAGAAGCACCGGCUAACUCCGUGCCAGCAGCCGCGGUAAUACGGAGGGUGCGAGCGUUAAUCGGAAUUACUGGGCGUAAAGCGCGCGUAGGCGGUCUGAUAAGCCGGUUGUGAAAGCCCCGGGCUCAACCUGGGAACGGCAUCCGGAACUGUCAGGCUAGAGUGCAGGAGAGGAAAGUAGAAUUCCCGGUGUAGCGGUGAAAUGCGUAGAGAUCGGGAGGAAUACCAGUGGCGAAGGCGGCCUUCUGGACUGACACUGACGCUGAGGUGCGAAAGCGUGGGUAGCAAACAGGAUUAGAUACCCGAGUAGUC
rnacentral:rRNA from 1 species